UACGGGGGGGGUAAGCGUUGUUCGGAAUUACUGGGCGUAAAGGGCUCGUAGGCGGCCAACUAAGUCAUACGUGAAAUCCCUCAGCUUAACUGGGGAACUGCGUGUGAUACUGGAUGGCUUGGAUUUGGGAGAGGGAUGCGGAAUUCCAGGUGUAGCGGUGAAAUGCGUAGAUAUCUGAAGGAACACCGGUGGCGAAGGCGGAUCUCUGGACCAGUUCUGACACUGAUGAGCGAAAGCCAGGGGAGCAAACAGG
rnacentral:rRNA from 1 species